rnacentral:rRNA from 1 species
UCAGAUUGAACGCUGGCGGCAGGCCUAACACAUGCAAGUCGAACGGUAACAGGAAACAGCUUGCUGUUUCGCUGACGAGUGGCGGACGGGUGAGUAAUGUCUGGGAAACUGCCUGAUGGAGGGGGAUAACUACUGGAAACGGUAGCUAAUACCGCAUAACGUCGCAAGACCAAAGAGGGGGACCUUCGGGCCUCUUGCCAUCGGAUGUGCCCAGAUGGGAUUAGCUAGUAGGUGGGGUAACGGCUCACCUAGGCGACGAUCCCUAGCUGGUCUGAGAGGAUGACCAGCCACACUGGAACUGAGACACGGUCCAGACUCCUACGGGAGGCAGCAGUGGGGAAUAUUGCACAAUGGGCGCAAGCCUGAUGCAGCCAUGCCGCGUGUAUGAAGAAGGCCUUCGGGUUGUAAAGUACUUUCAG